rnacentral:lncRNA from 1 species
UGGAAGAAUCUUGGAGUUGGGAAUAUGGCACAUAAUUGAAGGAAGAGCAAUAAAACUAUAGCAGCUGCUCCCAACCCCAGCAACUUUGCUAUCUUAGAACGGAUCACCAGUGAAAGAGGGGAAGUUGCUACUGUGAUGAAUUCUGCCAUGUGGUACCAGACUGCUGCCCAGACCACAGUGUCCUCUGCAACCCUGGUAACUCACAUACAGGCCUGAUUCCACCUACAGCAAAGCUGGAUGCUAUGGUUGGCAGAGGCAAGCCCCUUGCCUGCACUUCAGGCCAAAGCCGGGAUGUGGCCUAGAUGGUUCCUAAGCUUCUCAGAUGACCAAGAUGGUGCUGCCGAUGGUGUUGAGGACGGAGAACCCACCAAGCCCCGUUAGGAGCCACCUAGACUGGAUGCAGAGCACAGUUCAGCGACUUCUCCAAACCAGCCUCCCAGGAAUGCUGUUCUCUAUGGCCGUGAGGGGAAUCAAGAAGAGAGCCUGACUCCUCUCCUGAGGUCCCUUCCACACCCUGAGCCAGCA